UUUAUGCAAAGAAAAUGAUUUAGGCUAAAGGCUAGCCAUGCAAAGAAAGACCAACUACGUGAUAAGAGGGUGGGGGCUAUGCGCCAGAUACCAUUUCCAGCCUCCAAGCCCUUGAAAUGAGGCCGCCACUACUUGAGUCCACUUCCUUCCUCUAUGCGCGCCAGAUCUUAAAUUUGGAAGGGAGAAGCCAGAAAACCAGAGAAUGGACAAAUUUUUAAAAAGAGGAGAAAAAGAAAAAGACAAAGGACUCAACUAAAGCCUGCUUCCCUCUAGACAAAGAGUCAAGAAAGGGGCUUCCUAGUCUGCAGAUAAAGACCCAGCACCCAACUGACAGUAAUGCUCUAUCCUUUGAGCAAGUGAACCUCGUACAUUUGAACUACAAACAGAGUGAAAUGAAAACAAUUCUACUCCUGUCUUCUUAACCUGUCUUAUAGGACAAAACUUGCUGCCAGUCUUUGCUGAUGAGUCCAU